rnacentral:tRNA from 1 species
GCCCGAUUAGCUCAGCUGGUUAGAGCGUCGUACUAAUAUAUCUUCUGAUAUACUAAGUAAUGCGAAGGUCAACAGUUCAAUCCUGUUAUUGGGCA